UACAGAGGGUGCAAGCGUUGUUCGGAAUUAUUGGGCGUAAAGCGCGUGUAGGCGGCUUGGCAAGUCGGGUGUGAAAUCCCUCAGCUCAACUGAGGAAGUGCGCCCGAAACUGCUUUGCUUGAGUGUCGGAGAGGAUGGCGGAAUUCCCCAAGUAGAGGUGAAAUUCGUAGAUAUCGGGAGGAACACCAGUGGCGAAGGCGGCGACCUGGGCCAAUAUUGACGCUGAGGUGCGAAAGCGUGGGGAGCAAACAGG
rnacentral:rRNA from 1 species